AAUAUAAAGGUAUAGGUGCAUCUAAUACUCAAAAUUCAAUUUCGUGCUAUUUAAAUUUGAUCCUUAUGAUUUCAUCACAUUCGUCGUGUCUUUGGAUUCUCUUUCAGCCUUGAUUAAGUUUGGUGUGAUGUGCUAGAUUUAAUUUUCUACCUUUAUCUUUUACAUGAUGUUAAUGCAGUCCUGUUUGGCUGAAGCAAUGAGGCAGUUCCAAUGGUAAGGCUUUAUUUGAGAUUGGGGGAGGACGAUUGUGCUGUAUGCGGUGAGUUCCAUAUGUAAUAUCAUAUUGUGCGUAUUGAAAUAAAUCAAUUGCCAUAUAUUUUUUA